GAUCCCAAUCUAGUCGUAAGAUUCUCUCACGUCGAUAGCUUUAUUCCAAAAUCCCCACUCCCCUGUUUCUAACCGCAAAAAUCAGAGGCGCGGAAGUGCGGGAACAGCUUCAUCGUCUUCUUUGUCCUCCGUUCCGUCAAUUUUUCUGUUGGUCUUCAUCUGAAACUUUGCCCUAGUGAACUCGAGCAGCAGCGAUGGGUUUUCUGUUAAAACCCUCAACCUAGACUUCUCUGGUUCGUUCUUCAAAGGAGGAAGUUGUUAUUGAUAAACCACCACCAACCCCACCUGGUACCGCCAUUUCGGUAGUGGAGGACAAGGAGAAGCCUCAGUGUCUGCCUCGACAGUUGAGACCACGGCAGUCUUGAGGCGCCUGUCAGAGGACGAACGUCUCGUUCUAACCCAAGUGUACGAAGAGUUAUAACCGAUCAAUUUAAGGAUUCUCGGAAUCAGGUCUUCAUCUCCCCUUCCCCCACCCCAUUUUUUUAAAAUAUUUAAUUUCCUUCAGAUUGUUUUUGAGAUUGCUUAACAUAACAUUGUUUCUGCAUGACAAUAAGCUACUGGGAAUGCUCUUGACUUGGAGAACUACAUCGCUAAUUAGGUUCAUGAGGUAAUUAAGAUUUGAAUUCUCCAUAGUUCUUUUGUAAUCAUAGCAAGAAACAAUGUGGGUCCACCAUACCAUGCAUGCAAAUUAAGCUGGACAGAGAUAAGGAUCAUGGCAAGACGUGCUAGGGAUUGAGUGUCAUCUUCUUCAAUCUCUAUUCUUUAAUAUGUGUAAUUCUUUAGAUUAGAUCUCCUUCCACCUAUGAUUCUUGCAAACUUUCCAUCUCACAUUGAAAAAGAGAAUCUUUAUCCU